rnacentral:lncRNA from 1 species
UAAUUUUCAUUUGCUGUCCAAUGCUUCCUCUUUACAGGCCUCUUCAUUUUCUUCAAAUUGAUAAAAGCCUGUACCAUCAACCUGAGGCAUGAUUCCAUUUCUGCUAGACUUAGCUUACUCCACUUUCACGUCAACAAAAUCAGGUUCCUUCAUUUCUCUUGAAGAAAACUUGGGAAAUUAGGUCUUGAUCAGCUUCAAAAGCUGAUCCAGUAUUAAAAAGGUUUGUUCUUCUCUGGUAAGGCUGAUGGUAUGAUUUUAAUCUGAAAUGGGAUUCGCUUAGGUAUCUCCUGAUCAUAGGGCUUGAGAAUUGUCGAUUCCAAGUGAAUUCGGACUGGCAUGGUUGUUGUUUUGACAAAUUGUGGACUAGAUUUAGGUAGAUAGACGAAGUAUUAAUUCGUCUCAAGAACACUUACUGGACCACUACCACACUUACUAGACGAAG